GUGGGGAAUUGUUCGCAAUGGGCGCAAGCCUGACGACGCAACGCCGCGUGGAGGAUGAAGGUCUUCGGAUUGUAAACUCCUGUUGACCGGGAAGAACUCCCCCGGGGUAAACACCCCUGGAGGUUGACGGUACCGGUUGAGGAAGCCCCGGCUAACUCUGUGCCAGCAGCCGCGGUAAUACAGAGGGGGCAAGCGUUGUUCGGAAUUACUGGGCGUAAAGGGCGCGUAGGCGGCCAACUAAGUCGGACGUGAAAUCCCAAGGCUCAACCUUGGAACUGCGUCCGGUACUGGAUGGCUUGAAUCCGGGAGAGGGAUGUGGAAUUCCAGGUGUAGCGGUGAAAUGCGUAGAUAUCUGGAGGAACACCGGUGGCGAAGGCGGCAUCCUGGACCGGUAUUGACGCUGAGGCGCGAAAGCCAGGGGAGCAAACGGGAUUAGAAACCCUAGUAGUCC
rnacentral:rRNA from 1 species